rfam:Picea glauca, whole genome shotgun sequence.
AUGUACAUUCCUACAAUUUAGCGUUAGUGCAUCGGAUCCCAUUAGAACUCCGCAGUUAAGCACGCUCAGGCUAGAGUAGUACUGGGAUGGGUGACUUCUUGGGAAGUCCUAGUAUUUUACAUG